UGUGGCUCAGUGGUACAGCUCUUGCCUAACAAGUAUGAGGUCCUAGGUUCAAUUCCCAGUA
rnacentral:tRNA from 1 species